rnacentral:rRNA from 1 species
UACGUAGGGUGCGAGCGUUGUCCGGAAUUACUGGGCGUAAAGAGCUCGUAGGCGGUUUGUCGCGUCGUCUGUGAAAACCAGCAGCUCAACUGCUGGCUUGCAGGCGAUACGGGCAGACUUGAGUACUGCAGGGGAGACUGGAAUUCCUGGUGUAGCGGUGAAAUGCGCAGAUAUCAGGAGGAACACCGGUGGCGAAGGCGGGUCUCUGGGCAGUAACUGACGCUGAGGAGCGAAAGCGUGGGUAGCGAACAGGAUUAGAUACCCUGGUAGUCCACGCCGUAAACGGUGGGCGCUAGGUGUGGGUUUCCUUCCACGGGAUCCGUGCCGUAGCUAACGCAUUAAGCGCCCCGCCUGGGGAGUACGGCCGCAAGGCUAAA